rnacentral:ncRNA from 2 species
AAAUCAUAUAGAGGCAGCGAUGCGUCAGAGUAGGAGUAGGAGCCGGCAGGCAGUGAAAACUUUGAAAGGUAAUCAUCGCCGAAGGUGAUUUUCCGGCGGGGAAGUUAUCUGGGGUUAUCUGGAAAUACCGAUAACACUCCUUCAUGUAAGAUGAAGAGGAGCUAUUGACACU